UACGGGGGGGGCAAGCGUUGUUCGGAAUUACUGGGCGUAAAGGCUCGUAGGCGGCCAACUAAGUCGGAUGUGAAAUCCCCAGGCUUAACCUGGGAACUGCAUCCGAUACUGGAUGGCUUGAAUCCGGGAGAGGGAUGCAGAAUUCCAGGUGUAGCGGUGAAAUGCGUAGAUAUCUGGAGGAAUACCGGUGGCGAAGGCGGCAUCCUGGACCGGCAUUGACGCUGAUGAGCGAAAGCUAGGGGAGCAACGGGG
rnacentral:rRNA from 1 species